GAUGAACGCUGGCGGCGUGCCUAAUACAUGCAAGUCGAGCGAAUGGAUUAAGAGCUUGCUCUUAUGAAGUUAGCGGCGGACGGGUGAGUAACACGUGGGUAACCUGCCCAUAAGACUGGGAUAACUCCGGGAAACCGGGGCUAAUACCGGAUAACAUUUUGAAACGCAUGGUUCGAAAUUGAAAGGCGGCUUCGGCUGUCACUUAUGGAUGGACCCGCGUCGCAUUUGCUAGUUGGUGAGGUAACGGCUCACCAAGGCAACGAUGCGUAGCCGACCUGAGAGGGUGAUCGGCCACACUGGGACUGAGACACGGCCCAGACUCCUACGGGAGGCAGCAGUAGGGAAUCUUCCGCAAUGGACGAAAGUCUGACGGAGCAACGCCGCGUGAGUGAUGAAGGCUUUCGGGUCGUAAAACUCUGUUGUUAGGGAAGAACAAGUGCUAGUUGAAUAAGCUGGCACCUUGACGGUACCUAACCAGAAAGCCACGGCUAACUACGUGCCAGCAGCCGCCGUAA
rnacentral:rRNA from 1 species